ACUAACCCGACGUAUGCGUGCACAAUAACAAUUAAUAUUAAUACAAUUAUUUAGUAUUAAAUAAUAAACAAAAUGUUGAAAAAUAUUGUAACAAAAUCUUUAGCACAUUCUAACACGAGAAACUUUAAAAACUUUGGCCAUAAGAGACAGCCUAUACCUGGAGUAACAACACUUUGGCAUGGAUUCUUAACUUUUACGUUUAUUGGACUUUCAGUCGAGUGGAAAAGAAUAGCAAAAUUUAUGCUAGGUGAUGAUGAUGUGCAAAUAUCAUGGGAUCCGACAGACCCUGUUCCAAAGGAAUAAUAGGUAAAUUAAAUAAAUAAAUUGUAAUUUGUACAAAGCCAUGUAUUUAAAAUGUAGUUUUUAACAAUGGUACAUUGUUGUAUAGUUAAUAAUGUAUUUUUAAAUAAAACCUGUUCUUGUAAG